rnacentral:rRNA from 1 species
CCUACGGGUGGCAGCAGUGAGGAAUAUUGGUCAAUGGGCGAGAGCCUGAACCAGCCAAGUCGCGUGAAGGAUGACGGCCCUACGGGUUGUAAACUUCUUUUGUCAGGGAGCAAUUGAGUCCACGUGUGGUCUUAGCGAGAGUACCUGAAGAAAAAGCAUCGGCUAACUCCGUGCCAGCAGCCGCGGUAAUCCGGAGGAUGCGAGCGUUAUCCGGUUUUAUUGGGUUAAAAGGGUCCGUAGGCGGGAUAUCAAGUCAGCGGUAAAAAUUCGGGGCUCAACCCCGUCGUGCCGUUGAAACUGAUGGUCUUGAGUGGGCGAGAGGUAUGCGGAAUGCGUGGUGUAGCGGUGAAAUGCAUAGAUAUCACGCAGAACUCCGAUUGCGAAGGCAGCAUACCGGCGCCCAACUGACGCUGAAGCACGAAAGCGUGGGUAUCGAACAGGAUUAGAUACCCGAGUAGUC